rnacentral:tRNA from 1 species
AUCAAAUUAGCAAAAACCCAAUGCUGCUGACUUAGGAUCAGUGAUUAUAGGUGAGAUCCCUUUAUUUGAUA